rnacentral:rRNA from 1 species
AACGAACGCUGGCGGCAGGCUUAACACAUGCAAGUCGAACGCAUCCUUCGGGGUGAGUGGCAGACGGGUGAGUAACGCGUGGGAACGUGCCCUUCAGUUCGGGAUAACCCAGGGAAACUUGGGCUAAUACCGGAUACGUGCGAGAGCAGAAAGAUUUAUCGCUGAAGGAUCGGCCCGCGUCUGAUUAGCUAGUUGGUGGGGUAAUGGCCCACCAAGGCGACGAUCAGUAGCUGGUCUGAGAGGAUGAUCAGCCACAUUGGGACUGAGACACGGCCCAGACUCCUACGGGAGGCAGCAGUAGGGCAUCUUCCGCAAUGGACGAAAGUCUGACGGAGCAACGCCGCGUGAGUGAUGAAGGCCUUCGGGUCGUAAAGCUCUGUCCUCAAGGAAGAUAAUGACGGUACUUGAGGAGGAAGCCCCGGCUAACUACGUGCCAGCCGCCGCAGUAA